rnacentral:rRNA from 1 species
AGUUUGAUCCUGGCUCAGGACGAACGCUGGCGGCGUGCCUAACACAUGCAAGUCGGACGGGCUUGGGGGGCAACUCUCAAGUCAGUGGCGAACGGGUGCGUAACACGUGAGCAAUCUGCCUUCAGGUGGGGGAUAGCCGGCCCAACGGCCGGGUAAUACCGCAUACCGCCCCGGGAUCUCAUGAUUCUGGGGUAAAAGCAGCCGCAAGGUUGCGCCGGAAGAGGAGCUCGCGGCCUAUCAGCUAGUUGGCGAGGUAACGGCUCACCAAGGCGACGACGGGUAGCUGGUCUGAGAGGAUGGCCUGCCACAUUGGGACUGAGAAACGGCCCAGACUCCUACGGGAGGCAGCAGUGGGGAAUAUUGCGCAAUGGCCGAAAGGCUGACGCAGCGACGCCGCGUGUGGGAUGAAGGCCUUCGGGUUGUAAACCACUGUCGGGGGGGGCGAAUACCUGGGCCUCGUAAGGGGACCCGGGGGUGACGGUACCCCCAAAGGAAGCACCGGCUAACUCCGUGCCAGCAGCCGCGGUAAUACGGAGGGUGCGAGCGUUGUCCGGAAUCACUGGGCGUAAAGGGCGCGUAGGCGGUUCGUUAAGUCACUUGUGAAAUCCCGGUGCUCAACGCCGGGGCUGCAGGUGAGACUGGCAGACUAGAGCUCGGUAGAGGCGAAUGGAAUUCCCGGUGUAGCGGUGGAAUGCGUAGAUAUCGGGAAGAACAUCGGUGGCGAAGGCGGUUCGCUGGGCCGAUGCUGACGCUGAUGCGCGAAAGCGUGGGGAGCAAACAGGAUUAGAUACCCUGGUAGUCCACGCUGUAAACGAUGGG